rnacentral:rRNA from 1 species
GACGGGUGAGUAACGCGUGGGAACGUACCUUUUGGUUCGGAACAACACAGGGAAACUUGUGCUAAUACCGGAUAAGCCCUUACGGGGAAAGAUUUAUCGCCGAAAGAUCGGCCCGCGUCUGAUUAGCUAGUUGGUGAGGUAAUGGCUCACCAAGGCGACGAUCAGUAGCUGGUCUGAGAGGAUGAUCAGCCACAUUGGGACUGAGACACGGCCCAAACUCCUACGGGAGGCAGCAGUGGGGAAUAUUGGACAAUGGGGGCAACCCUGAUCCAGCCAUGCCGCGUGAGUGAUGAAGGCCCUAGGGUUGUAAAGCUCUUUUGUGCGGGAAGAUAAUGACGGUACCGCAAGAAUAAGCCCCGGCUAACUUCGUGCCAGCAGCCGCGGUAAUACGAAGGGGGCUAGCGUUGCUCGGAAUCACUGGGCGUAAAGGGUGCGUAGGCGGGUCUUUAAGUCAGGGGUGAAAUCCUGGAGCUCAACUCCAGAACUGCCUUUGAUACUGAGGAUCUUGAGUUCGGGAGAGGUGAGUGGAACUGCGAGUGUAGAGGUGAAAUUCGUAGAUAUUCGCAAGAACACCAGUGGCGAAGGCGGCUCACUGGCCCGAUACUGACGCUGAGGCACGAAAGCGUGGGGAGCAAACAGGAUUAGAUACCCUGGUAGUCCACGCCGUAAACGAUGAAUGCCAGCCGUUAGUGGGUUUACUCACUAGUGGCGCAGCUAACGCUUUAAGCAUUCCGCCUGGGGAGUACGGUCGCAAGAUUAAAACUCAAAGGAUUUGACGGGGGCCCGCACAAGCGGUGGAGCAUGUGGUUUAAUUCGACGCAACGCGCAGAACCUUACCAGCCCUUGACAUGUCCAGGACCGGUCGCAGAGAUGUGACCCUCUCUU